UACGGGAGGCAGCAGGGGGGAAUAUUGCCCAAUGGGCGGAAGCCUGACGCAGCGACGCCGCGUGGGGGAUGACGCCCUUCGGGUUAUAAACCUCUUUCAGCAGGGACGAAGCUAACGUGACGGUACCUGCAGAAGAAGCCCCGCCUAAUUACUUCCCAGCAGCCGCGGUAAUACUUAGGGCGCAAGCGUUGUCCGUAAUUAUUGGGCGUAAAGAGCUCGUAGGCGGUUUGUCGCUUCUGUCGUGAAAGCCCACGGCUUAACUGUGGGUCUGCGGUGGAUACGGCCAGCCUAGAGGCAGGUAGGGGAGAAUGGAAUUCCCGGUGUAGCGGUGAAAUGCGCAGAUAUCGGGAGGAACACCGGUGGCGAAGGCGGUUCUCUGGCCCUGUACUGACGCUGAGGAGCGAAAGCGUGGGG
rnacentral:rRNA from 1 species